rnacentral:rRNA from 1 species
UACAGAGGUCUCGAGCGUUAGGCGGAAUCACUGGGCUUAAAGCGUGUGUAGGCGGAUUGGUAAGUACUUUGUGAAAUCCCACGGCUUAACCGUGGAACUGCUUGGUAUACUGCCAGUCUUGAGCCAGCUAGGGGCUACCGGAACAAAUGGUGGAGCGGUGAAAUGCGUAGAUAUCAUUUGGAACGCCAAUGGUGAAAACAGCUCGCUGGGGGUGCACUGACACUGAGACACGAAAGCCAGGGGAGCGAACGGG